rnacentral:rRNA from 1 species
GAUGAACGCUGGCGGCGUGCCUAAUACAUGCAAGUCGAGCGAACAGACGAGGAGCUUGCUCCUCUGACGUUAGCGGCGGACGGGUGAGUAACACGUGGAUAACCUACCUAUAAGACUGGGAUAACUUCGGGAAACCGGAGCUAAUACCGGAUAAUAUAUUGAACCGCAUGGUUCAAUAGUGAAAGACGGUUUUGCUGUCACUUAUAGAUGGAUCCGCGCCGCAUUAGCUAGUUGGUAAGGUAACGGCUUACCAAGGCAACGGUGCGUAGCCGACCUGAGAGGGUGAUCGGCCACACUGGAACUGAGACACGGUCCAGACUCCUACGGGAGGCAGCAGUAGGGAAUCUUCCGCAAUGGGCGAAAGCCUGACGGAGCAACGCCGCGUGAGUGAUGAAGGUCUUCGGAUCGUAAAACUCUGUUAUUAGUGAAGAACAAAUGUGUAAGUAACUAUGCACGUCUUGACGGUACCUAAUCAGAAAGCCACGGCUAACUACGUG